GCCAGAAUGGUGUAGUGGUUUGAUUAUGUUGGAUUAUGACUCUGGAGAUCAGGGUUCACUUCCCCGCUCAGCCA